UACGUAGGUGACAAGCGUUGUCCGGAUUUACUGGGCGUAAAGAGCGCGCAGGCGGUCGAUCAAGUCGAGUGUGAAAGCCCCCGGCUCAACUGGGGAGGGUCAUUCGAUACUGAUCGACUCGAAGGCAGGAGAGGGUAGUGGAAUUCCCGGUGUAGUGGUGAAAUGCGUAGAUAUCGGGAGGAACACCAAUGGCGAAGGCAGCUCGCUGGGACGGUACUGACGCUGAGACGCGAAAGCGUGGGGAGCAAACAGG
rnacentral:rRNA from 1 species